AUGAUGGCAGUAAACUGCACUCUUCAAAUCCUCCUCCUCCUCUUGUUCAUACUCCUCUCCCCUGUAGCCAUCACCGCCGGUGCUACUGACACAUUCGGCAAGGGCCAGAAUGUCACUGACGGCGAGACACUCGUCUCGGCCGGUGGCACGUUUACACUGGGAUUCUUCUCUCCCGGUGCGUCGGCCAAGAGAUACCUCGGGAUAUGGUUCUCGGUGUCCAGCGAUGCCGUUUGCUGGGUGGCCAACCGUGAUCACCCUCUCAAGGACACCUCCGGCGUGCUGUUGGUGGCCAGCGACACGGGGGACCUUCUCCUGCUCGACGGCUCCGGCGAGGUGGCGUGGUCAUCCAACUCCCCCAACACCUCCUCAGUGGAGGCGCAGCUUCUGGAGUCUGGCAACCUGGUCGUACACGACCAGAGAAGCAAAACUAUCCUGUGGCAGUCGUUCGACCACCCAUCGAACACCUUGCUGCCCGGCAUGAAGAUGGGCAAGAACCUGUGGACCGGCGACGAGUGGUACCUUACGUCGUGGCGGUCGCCGGAUGACCCAUCUCCGGGGAGCUACCGCCGCGUGCUGGAGUACGCGACUCGGCUGCCGGAGGUCGUCCUCUGGCAACAGGACGCCAAGGCGUAUCGCACGGGGCCGUGGAAUGGGCGCUGGUUCAACGGCGUCCCGGAGGCCUCGACGUAUGCGCACGAUUUCCCGCUGGACGUGACGGCCAGCAAGUCAGAGAUCACAUACGGGUACACCGCCAGGCCAGGCGCGCCACUCACCCGUGUGGUGGUGACGGACGCCGGCGUGGUGAGGCGGCUGGUGUGGGACGCGAGCAGCCUGGCGUGGAAGACCUUCUUCCAGGGGCCAAGAGACGUGUGCGAUGCCUACGGAAAGUGCGGGGCAUUCGGUCUAUGCGACGCCAGCGCAGCGUCGUCGGCGUUCUGCGGCUGCCUGCAGGGGUUCAACCCCGCGUCGCCACCGGCGUGGUACAUGAGGGAAACCUCGGGCGGCUGCCGGCGAAACGUGCCGCUGAACUGCGGCGGCAACGAGACAGCGACGGAUGGCUUUGUGCUGGUCCGUGGCGUGAAGCUGCCCGACACUCAGAACGUGUCGGUGGAUAUGAGCAUCUCGACGGAGGAGUGCAGGGAUAGGUGCUUCGCCAACUGCUCCUGCCUGGCUUACGCAUCCGCUGAGAUCCGAGAAGGUGGCGGUGGCAGUGGCUGCAUCAUUUGGACGGGUGACUUGGUCGAUCUUCGUUACGUGGACCGAGGGCAGGAUCUGUACCUCAGGCUGGCCGGGCCUGAAAUAGCUGUGCCAAAGGGCUCGAAGUUUGCUAUUGCGACUGUUCUUGCGCCGGUAGCUUCCGCUGUUGCUAUAAUACUUGUCUUGUUAUUUGUCAUUUGCUGGAGAAGGAAGCACAGAAUCUCACGUAAACGACUAAACGAUGGUAUUCCACAAAGUUCAGCUAUGACAGUUCCCUCGGUUGAUCUGCACACUCUAAAGGAGGCUACACUGAAUUUCUCCGAGAGCCAUGUGAUUGGUCAAGGAGGAUUUGGCAUAGUGUAUAAGGGCCAAUUACCUGACGGGAGAACGAUUGCAGUGAAGAGGCUUAGGCAGUGUGCUCUCACAAGGAAAGGCAAAUGCGACUUCGCAAGAGAAGUGGAGGUGAUGGCCAGGCUCAGGCAUGGCAACCUUAUUCGCCUCCUUGCCUACUGUGACGAAGGCGAAGAGAGGAUACUUGUCUACGUCUACAUGCCCAACAAGAGCCUCGAUCUCUACAUAUUUGGUGAACCCAGCCUCCGUGCUACGCUGAGCUGGAGGCAGAGGUUGGAUAUCAUCAACGGCAUUGCACAAGGCGUGGCGUACAUGCACGAGGGAUCGGGCGAGAGCGUCGUCCACAGAGACUUGAAGCUUCAAAACGUGCUGCUAGAUGACAAUUGGCGGGCCAAGGUUGCGGACUUUGGCACCGCGAAGCUGUUUGUCGCUGAGCGGGUGGACUCUAGCCUCACCAUCGUCAACUCACCUGGAUAUGCAUCGCCAGAGUCAUUGCGGGCGGAGAUGACGCUCAAAUGCGACGUCUAUAGCUUCGGAGUCGUGCUGCUGGAAAUCCUUAGCGGGCAAAGGAAUGGCGAGACGCAGAGGCUCCUUUUACAUGCAUGGGGAUUGUGGGAGCAGGACAGGAAAAUGGCGCUCCUUGAUCCGACGGUGAAUCUCCCUCCCCUCUCCCGGCCUGAUUCCGACGUAGGCUCUGAACUCGAGAGGUGCAUUCAGAUUGGCCUUCUCUGCAUCCAGGAAUCACCCGACGACAGGCCGGCCAUGUCUGAUGUUGUCGCAGUGCUAACCACUAAGACCUCACAGAUCGCUCGGCCCAACAGGCCCGGAAUAUACAACCAACGAACAAGGUUUGUGACAGGUCAGGCGGAUCUCACUAGGACCACAACGAUCGAUCUCGAGUAG
rnacentral:rRNA from 1 species